rnacentral:rRNA from 1 species
UACGUAGGGCUCAAGCGUUGUCCGGAAUCAUUGGGCGUAAAGCGCGCGUAGGUGGCCUCGUAAGUCCGCUGUGAAAGUCAAAGGCUCAACCUUUGAAAGCCGGUGGAUACUGUGGGGCUAGAGUACGGAAGAGGCGAGUGGAAUUCCUGGUGUAGCGGUGGAAUGCGCAGAUAUCAGGAGGAACACCAAUAGCGAAGGCAGCUCGCUGGGACGUUACUGACACUGAGGCGCGAAAGCGUGGGGAGCGAACAGG